rnacentral:rRNA from 1 species
UAAAGUAGGGAAGAGCGUAUGGCGGAUGCCUAGGCACAGAGAGGCGAAGAAGGACGCAGCAAACAGCGAAAUGCGACGGGGAGCAGUAAGCAUGCAACGAUCCGUCGAUGUCCGAAUGGGGGAACCCAUCCGGGAUAGAGACCGGAUAUCCUGCAGUGAACAGAUAGCUGCAGAGAGGCGAGACUCAGGGAACUGAAACAUCUAAGUACCUGAAGGAAGAGAAAAUAAAAAUGAUUUCCUAAGUAGCGGCGAGCGAAAGGGGAGGAGCCCAAACCGAUUUUAGGAUCGGGGUUGUAGGACUGUCAGGAAAGAGCAAGAAGGCAUUAUAGGCGAACGGACUGGGAAGUCCGGCGAGACAGGGUGAAAGCCCCGUAGCCGAAAUAGUGAAGAAGCUUGAGACAGCACCUGAGUACGGCGGGACACGAGGAAUCCUGUCGGAAUCUACCAGGACCAUCUGGUAAGGCUAAAUACUCCUCUGUGACCGAUAGUGAACCAGUACCGUGAGGGAAAGGUGAAAAGAACCCCGGGAGGGGAGUGAAAAAGAACCUGAAACCAUAUGCUUACAAGAAGUUAGAGCCCGUUAAAGGGUGAUAGCGUGCCUUUUGUAGAAUGAACCGGCGAGUUACGAUAUGCAGCGAGGUUAAGCAGGAUAUGCGGAGCCGAAGCGAAAGCGAGUCUUAACAGGGCGCUAGUUGCAUGUCGUAGACCCGAAACCGAGUGAUCUAGCCAUGACCAGGUUGAAGUUGGGGUAAAACCCGAUGGAGGACCGAACCGACCCCCGUUGAAACGUUGGCGGAUGAGUUGUGGCUAGGGGUGAAAUUCCAAUCGAACUCGGAGAUAGCUGGUUCUCCCCGAAAUAGCUUUAGGGCUAGCGUCGAGAGAGAGUCAUGUGAAGGUAGAGCACUGAAUAUGUGAUGGCCCCAUCCCGGGGUACUGAAUAUAAUCAAACUCCGAAUGUCACAGAGACAUGCUCGGCAGUCAGACAGCGGGUGAUAAGGUCCACUGUCAAGAGGGAAACAGCCCAGACCAUCAGCUAAGGUCCCAAAAUAUAUACUAAGUGGAAAAGGAUGUGGAGAUGUCCAGACAACUAGGAGGUUGGCUCAGAAGCAGCCAUCCUUUAAAGAGUGCGUAACAGCUCACUAGUCGAAUGACUCUGCGCCGAUAAUUUACCGGGGCUAAGUAUAUUACCGAAGCUAUGGAUUUGCGAUGAGCAAGUGGUAGGGGAGCGUUCUAUGAGCGAAGAAGCAGUACCGGAAGGAGCUGUGGAGCAUAUAGAAGAGAGAAUGCCGGUGUGAGUAGCGGAACGUGGGUGAGAAUCCCACGCACCGAAAACCCAAGGUUUCCAGAGGAAGGUUCGUCCGCUCUGGGUAAGUCGGGACCUAAGGCGAGGCCGAGAGGCGUAGUCGAUGGACAACAGGUAGAGAUUCCUGUACUUACGGUAUGAAUGAAGGAGUGACGGAGAAGGCUAGGUGAUCCUGCGGCUGGAAGAGCAGGUGCAAGCGAGGUAGCAGAUAUCCAGGCAAAUCCGGAUGUCGAGAAAGCGAAGGCGUGAAGCGGAUGGAAAGCCAAGGCAAGUACAGAAGUCAUUGAAGCCAGCUUCCAAGAAAAGCUUCUAGUGAAAAUCAUACAGUAACCCGUACCGAAAAUGGACACACAUGGGUGAGGAGAGAAUCCUAAGGUGAGCGAGAGAACUAUAGCUAAGGAACUCUGCAAAAUGACUCCGUAACUUAGGGAGAAGGAGUGCUCAUAGAGAUAUGAGCCGCAGUGAAACGGCCCAAGCGACUGUUUACCAAAAACACAGCUCUAUGCUAAGUCGAAAGACGACGUAUAUGGGGUGACGCCUGCCCGGUGCUGGAAGGUUAAGAGGAUGUGUCAGCGCAAGCGAAGCACUGAAUUGAAGCCCCAGUAAACGGCGGCCGUAACUAUAACGGUCCUAAGGUAGCGAAAUUCCUUGUCAGGUAAGUUCUGACCCGCACGAAAGGCGUAACGAUUUGGGCGCUGUCUCAGCUGUAGACUCGGUGAAGUCUUAGUACCUGUGAAGAUGCAGGUUACCCGCGACUAGACGGAAAGACCCCAUGGAGCUUUACUG